rnacentral:pre_miRNA from 1 species
CGUAGGAUCAUCUGGCGAGGGACAUACACUGUACAAGUGAAUCGCGGCGCGCCCUGCGGCCUGUACAGUUUAUGUCCCCGGCAGACGAUCUACGA